rnacentral:rRNA from 1 species
AACGAACGCUAGCGGCAGGCUUAAUACAUGCAAGUCGUGGGGCAGCAUGAGUGUAGCAAUACAUUUGAUGGCGACCGGCAAACGGGUGCGGAACACGUACAGAACCCUCCUUCAAGCGGGGCAUAGCCCAGAGAAAUUUGGGUUAAUACCCCAUAAUAUAAUGAAGAGGCAUCUCUUUGUUAUUAAAGAUUUAUCACUUGAAGAUGGCUGUGCGGCUGAUUAGGUAGUUGGCGGGGUAACGGCCCACCAAGCCUGCGAUCAGUAACUGGUGUGAGAGCACGACCAGUCACACGGGCACUGAGACACGGGCCCGACUCCUACGGGAGGCAGCAGUAAGGAAUAUUGGUCAAUGGACGCAAGUCUGAACCAGCCAUGCCGCGUGGAGGAUGAAGGUCCUCUGGAUUGUAAACUUCUUUUAUAUGGGACGAAAAAAGGCUUUUCUAAGUCGUCUGACGGUACCAUAUGAAUAAGCACCGGCUAACUCCGUGCCAGCCGCCGCAGUAAUAC